rnacentral:lncRNA from 1 species
GAGCACAUGGGCCCGCGGGCCGGGCGGGCUCGGGGCGGCCGGGACGAGGAGGGGCGACGACGAGCUGCGAGCAAAGAUGUGCCCCGGGACCCCCGGCACCUUCCAGUGGAUUUCCUUGCGGAAAGGAUGUUGGCGGUCCCUGUGACCUGUGGAGACACGGCCAGAUCUGCCCUCCAGCCUGAUCUUUUGGCCAGAAGGAGAUUAAAAAGAUGCCCCUCAAGAUGGCUGUGCCUGUCAGCUGCAUGGAGCUUCGUUCAAGUAUUUUCUGAGCCUGAUGGAUUUACAGUGAUCUUCAGUGGUCUGGGGAAUAACGCUGGUGGAACCAUGCACUGGAAUGACACACGCCCGGCACAUUUCAGGAUACUAAAAGUGGUUUUAAGGGAGGCUGUGGCUGAAUGCCUCAUGGAUUCUUACAGCUUGGAUGUCCAUGGGGGACGAAGGACUGCAGCUGGCUGAGAGGGUUGAGAUCUCUGUUUACUUAGAUCUCUGCCAACUUCCUUUGGGUCUCCCUAUGGAAUGUAAGACCCCGACUCUUCCUGGUGAAGCAUCUGAUGCACGUUCCAUCCGGCGCUCAGCUGGGCUUGAGCUGACCAUACUCCCUGGAGCCUUCUCCCGAGGUGCGCGGGUGACCUUGGCACAUACAGCCAUCAUGAUGGUACUUUAAGUGGAGGCUGAAUCAUCUCCCCUUUGAGCUGCUUGGCACGUGGCUCCCUUGGUGUUCCCCUUUUACUGCCAGGACACUGAGAUUUGGAGAGAAUCCUGUUACACCUGGGAUUUAGGCACUUUCAAUCUGAAAAAAUACAUAUCCUUUCAGCACUCUGGACGGACUUGAGAACUGUCCUUACGUGACCUAAAGCUGGAGUAUUUUGAGAUUGGAGAAUUAAGGCCUUCAGUGGGUUGAAUGAGGCCCAACCCACAUUGAAGAGGACCAUCUGCUUUACUCAGUCUCCUGGUUGAAGUGAUAAUCUCAUCUGGACAUACUCAGAAAUGCUGUUUAACCAGCUCUCUGGAAAUCCUGUGGCCCAGUCAAGUUGACACACAAAAUUAACCAUCACACUGCAGAGACACAGUCUAUCCCAAUACCUGUAUUUACUGGAGUGUGGGCACCCUGGCUUCAAGCUCACGAGAAACCAGGUCGGGAUUUAAACAAUGUUGGGUUAAAGCAAAGUUUCAUAAAGACAGAAUCAAGAAAAAAAGAAAGAGAAA